UCUCAAUUAUUUUUUAAAGGUAUUAUUUUUUUCCUUCUGUUUUCAAAUCAUUUCUGACAGUUUCUAAAGACAUGGUCACAGCUGCCUGAAGCAUGUCUUCUUCACCCAUAGCAUCACCUGUUGGGAAACAAAACCACAUUUCUUUAAAAUUUCCAGAAAAUUCUCAAAGUCAUCAAAAGUUACAGAGCUGAAGUUCUCUUCAUGGAACUCUACAGAUAAUGUACACGCAGCGUAAUGCAAUGAGCAGAACUGUCCCAAACAACCCUGGAGCUCACUCCUGGACAAGCCAGCAAGAGGGACUGCACCCAAGCUCAGCUCCCAUGGGACGACAGGCUUCCUCCUUAUGGGAGGCACAGUGGCUCACGCCUGUAAUCACAGCACUUCGAGAG